GUAUAUAUUAAUGAUGUUAAUUUGCAACAUAAUUUUAUAUGGCGAUUGGUCGUAUCAAUAUUCUCUUGGUACUUACACUGGGUAUCAUUCAAGUCGCUAAAAGGCAUCUGAUAUGACUUUUACGACUACCGCCACCUGGCGGAAAAUCGUCGUGCAGAAAUUUGUGGAGGGGUGUGAAACCAGUGUGAAUAUGCAAGUUAAAAAGGAAGAAAAAUAUUUUGUGUAUUAUAUAAUGAGUAGGGGCAGGUAGAUAAUGGGCAUACUAACAAAAUAUUAUUUCGUAAUGGAGAUUCGUUUAUGCUGACUGUGCAACUGUCUAAUAUUCAUUCGAAUUGUAUCAGUUAUGAUAUCAAGAAUUGGUUGACAUCUCCGAUGUUUCUCUAUACACGACGACCUCGGUGGCGCAGUGGUAAAGUUCUUGCCACUGAACCGAGAGGUCCCGGGUUCGAUCCCCGGUCGAGUCAUGAUGGAAAAUGAAACUUUUUCUGAUUGGCCCGGGUCUUGGAUGUUUAUCUAUAUGUGUAUUUGUUAUAAAAUAUAGUAUCGUUGAGUUAGUAUCCCAUAGCAUAAGUCUCGAACUUACUUUGGGGCUAGCUCAAUCUGUGUCAUUUGUCCUAAUAUAUUUAUUUAUAUAGGUACCUACUAUACGAUAGUACAUACUAUAUACUAAUAUAAAUGUGAAAGUAAGAUUGUUUGUGUAUUAGUCUAUUUGUUACCUUUUCGAGCUCUAUCUCCUCAACCAAUCUUCUUGAAAUUUUGCAUACAUGUAGUUUAAAGUAUGUAGAAGGACGUAGGGGUACUUAGGUACCUACCUUUAAUCUCGGAAAAUAACUAUUUACGUGGGCAAAAGCUAUUAUGUAAUAAAACAUAUUAUCGUUGUGUUAGUACCGUAUCACAAAACUCAAGUCUCGAACUUACUUUAGGGCUAGCUCAAUCAGUGUGAUUUGUUCUAAUUUAUUUAUUUAUGAUAAGAAUAAGAGUCGAUAGAUGCUAUUAAAUAAUGAUUACUUUAUUCAAAUAUUUCAGACCUUUUAGCACCUCUGAUGAGAUAUAAAAUGGAAUAUAGUGUGACUUGGAGGCCACAAUUUUGUAUAAAAUCACAUGUCAUAUCAACGCCAUGUUUUAGUUCAACCACAGAUUAUACAAUACUAACUAGUUCAACUAAUCGUGGAGGGAUUGCAGAAACCACCACAGAGGGGAGCUAUACAAAUUCAAAUGUUAGUAAUGUAACUAGUAGUUCAAAUGCUGUAAUAAUAAGUGUAAUUAUCGUCAUAGUGAUACUAAUAUCAAUAUUAAUUGGCAUAAUAUUUUAUUGGAAGUGUAGAAACCGAGCAGAGGAUGUCAGGGAACAGAUCAUUUAUGCAUCCAAUGGAGUACAAUACUUGGAGUUGGAUUUGCGUAUGACUACGGCUCAAGACCGAACUCCCACUACAGAAGAUGUGUUAUAUUCCCAGAUUCGUUUCCGCGAAGAUUGUAAAAGCUAAUCAUACUUAAACUGGAGAAUUUGUCUUAUAAGUAGGCGAUAGGUUAUCAUAAUCUAUCGUACUAAUAUUAAAAUUGCGAAAGUUUGUGAGGAUGUGUGUAUGUAAGUAUGCUGUUGCUGGCAACACAAAGUAAAUUUACUAUUUUUAUAAGGUUGUCAUUGUCACUCAGAAUUUUUUCCGCUAUGGAGUCUGUCGUGUGUAUCCCAAAUAAUAUAAAAUACAUUUAUUCAGAAAUCGUCUUUGGAGUUAAACAAUAAGAUCCUAACACAUGUUUGUUUGCUAACUCUUUCACGCAAAAUCACGGGCAGAAUAUAACUUAGAAUAACAGAUAGGGUACAUACUUUUCAUCCCGAAAUUCCCACCGGAACGAAACCCCGGGGCGCGGCUAGUGAUCUAUAACUAACUAUACAACUCAACUAGCGACCCGACUCGGCAACGCACGGUGCUCUAAUAAGCUAUUUUGAAUAUAUAAAUCUUCGUUAAUAAAUUAUCUAAAUAACAGUGAAAACAAAUAUAUAUCUCUACUCAAUAGGGUAGUUGCCAAGGUCAGAGAAUUGUAAAAAAUAUACCUAAUCUAGAUAAAAUAAAUAUAUUUAGUAUCAUUAUGAUAAUUCAUAGACUGUAACAAUGCAGCUGGAUCUAAAUACGAAGAUUUAAAGUUGGUUGGAAAGAGUCCAUUUUUAAAAAGUAUGAAAUUAUAAAAAACAAAUUUAACCAUGUUCUCAUCUUGUUACAAAACAACAUUUUGUAACAACUUUUAUUAACGAAUAUAUCCCCGUAAACGUAAUAAAUGUAGUUGUGGAACAAACAUAUCCUUCGCGAACAUUAUCGCACGUUGUGACGUCACUUGUUCGUGACAUUUAGUAUGGAGCGUUUCGAGCGAGAUCAGAAAUGUGUGAUUUUAUUUUUUAUUUGAUUUUAAGUAUUGUCAUUAUCACAGUAUUUUUUUCACUGGUGUUUCUAAUGAUAUAAGAGCCUUCGAAUAGUCAUCAAAACAAAAAUUUGGCAACUAGCCUAUUCUAGCCCCAACAGUAUAGGAUCAC